ACUCGCUUGAUGAAAUUGGUAAACGUGGCUGACUCAAAAUUAGCUCCUUUUUGGAAUAUCGGUUCGAGUCCGAUAGCGAGUA
rnacentral:tRNA from 1 species